AGUCUGGUGCCAGCAGCCGCGGUAAUUCCAGCUCCAAUAGUGUAUAUUAAAGUUGCUGCGGUUAAAAAGCUCGUAGUUGGAUUUCGGGGGCAUUCAGGCCAAAGCUCGUCCUUGUGGCGUGGCUGGGUCUGGGCUUCCUACGUUUGGAUAGUGGGCAACCGCUUCCAAUCAUUUACUUUGAAAAAAUUAGAGUGUUCAAAGCAGGCGUAACCUUGCCAUUGAAUAUUACAGCAUGGGAUAAUAGAAUAUGACGUUGGUCUUAUUUUGUUGGUUUCUAAGGCUGAUGUAAUGAUUAAUAGGGAUAGUUGGGGUCGCUCGUAUUGAGUUGUCAGAGGUGAAAUUCUAGGAUUUACUCAAGACGAACUAAUGCGAAAGCAUUCGACAAGGAUGUUUUCAUUAAUCAAGAACGAAAGUUGGGGGAUCGAAGAUGAUCAGAUACCGUCGUAGUCUCAACCAUAAACUAUGUGGACCAAGGAUCCGAGGACGUUACAUGGAUGACUCUCCGGGCACUUUGUGAGAAAUCAUAAGUAUUUGCAUUCCGGGGGGAGUAUGGUCGCAAGGCUGAAACUUAAAGGAAUUGACGGAAGGGCACCACCAGGAGUGGAACCUGCGGCUUAAUUUGACCCAACACGGGGAAACUUACCAGGUCCGGACACUAUGAGGAUUGACAGAUUAAGAGCUCUUUCUUGAUUUAGUGGGUGGUGGUGCAUGGCCGUUUUUAGUUGGUGGAGUGAUUUGUCUGGUUAAUUCCGUUAACGAACGAGACCUUAACCUAUUAAUUAGUGACGCGAAUCUGGUGGCAACACCAGUCGAUUCGUGGGCGCACUUCUUAGAGGGACUCUCGGCAUCUCUAGCCGAUGGAAGUUUGAGGCAAAAACAGGUCUGUGAUGCCCUUAGAUGCCCUGGGCUGCACGCGCGUUACACUGACGAUUGCAACGAGUGAUUUUCCUGGUCCGAUGGGAUUGGGUAAGCUUUGAAAAGAUCGUCGUGAUGGGGAUUGAACCUUGCAAUUAUUGUUCAUGAACGAGGAAUUCCUAGUAAGCGCAGUUCAUCAAACUGCGCUGAUUACGUCCCUGCCCUUUGUACACACCGCCCGUCGCUCCUACCGAUUGAAUGGUCCGGUGAGGACUCAGGAUGGCAGUGCUUUAGCUUGCUCGCAAGGGUAAGCGGGUGCAGCCAGAAUCUGUUCAAACCUUACCAUUUAGAGGAAGGAGAAGUCGUA
rnacentral:rRNA from 1 species